rnacentral:rRNA from 1 species
AGACGACUUUAAAUACGCGACGGGGUAUUGUAAGUGGCAGAGUGGCCUUGCUGCCACGAUCCACUGAGAUUCAGCCCUAUGUCGCUCAGACUCGU